UGAGCAAUCUGCCCUUCUCUUCGGAAUAAGCGUUGGAAACGACGUCUAAUGCCGAAUACGACCUCCUUUCGCAUGAUCGGAGGUGGAAAGCUCCGGCGGAGAAGGAUGAGCUCGCGGCCUAUCAGCUAGUUGGUGUGGGUAAUUGCCCACCAAGGCGACGACGGGUAGCCGGCCUGAGAGGGUGACCGGCCACACUGGGACUGAGACACGGCCCAGACUCCUACGGGAGGNAGCG
rnacentral:rRNA from 1 species